rnacentral:rRNA from 2 species
UUAAGUUAUUAAGGGCGCACGGUGGAUGCCUUGGCACUAGAAGCCGAUGAAGGACGUUACUAACGACGAUAUGCUUUGGGGAGCUGUAAGUAAGCUUUGAUCCAGAGAUUUCCGAAUGGGGAAACCCAGCAUGAGUUAUGUCAUGUUAUCGAUAUGUGAAUACAUAGCAUAUCAGAAGGCACACCCGGAGAACUGAAACAUCUUAGUACCCGGAGGAAGAGAAAGAAAAUUCGAUUCCCUUAGUAGCGGCGAGCGAAACGGGAAGAGCCCAAACCAACAAGCUUGCUUGUUGGGGUUGUAGGACACUCUAUACGGAGUUACAAAGGACGACAUUAGACGAAUCAUCUGGAAAGAUGAAUCAAAGAAGGUAAUAAUCCUGUAGUCGAAAAUGUUGUCUCUCUUGAGUGGAUCCUGAGUACGACGGAGCACGUGAAAUUCCGUCGGAAUCUGGGAGGACCAUCUCCUAAGGCUAAAUACUCUCUAGUGACCGAUAGUGAACCAGUACCGUGAGGGAAAGGUGAAAAGCACCCCGGAAGGGGAGUGAAACAGAACCUGAAACCGUGUGCUUACAAGUAGUCAGAGCCCGUUAAUGGGUGAUGGCGUGCCUUUUGUAGAAUGAACCGGCGAGUUACGAUUUGAUGCAAGGUUAAGCAGUAAAUGUGGAGCCGUAGCGAAAGCGAGUCUGAAUAGGGCGUUUAGUAUUUGGUCGUAGACCCGAAACCAGGUGAUCUACCCUUGGUCAGGUUGAAGUUCAGGUAACACUGAAUGGAGGACCGAACCGACUUACGUUGAAAAGUGAGCGGAUGAACUGAGGGUAGCGGAGAAAUUCCAAUCGAACCUGGAGAUAGCUGGUUCUCUCCGAAAUAGCUUUAGGGCUAGCCUCAAGUGAUGAUUAUUGGAGGUAGAGCACUGUUUGGACGAGGGGCCCCUCUCGGGUUACCGAAUUCAGACAAACUCCGAAUGCCAAUUAAUUUAACUUGGGAGUCAGAACAUGGGUGAUAAGGUCCGUGUUCGAAAGGGAAACAGCCCAGACCACCAGCUAAGGUCCCAAAAUAUAUGUUAAGUGGAAAAGGAUGUGGCGUUGCCCAGACAACUAGGAUGUUGGCUUAGAAGCAGCCAUCAUUUAAAGAGUGCGUAAUAGCUCACUAGUCGAGUGACACUGCGCCGAAAAUGUACCGGGGCUAAACAUAUUACCGAAGCUGUGGAUUGUCCUUUGGACAAUGGUAGGAGAGCGUUCUAAGGGCGUUGAAGCAUGAUCGUAAGGACAUGUGGAGCGCUUAGAAGUGAGAAUGCCGGUGUGAGUAGCGAAAGACGGGUGAGAAUCCCGUCCACCGAUUGACUAAGGUUUCCAGAGGAAGGCUCGUCCGCUCUGGGUUAGUCGGGUCCUAAGCUGAGGCCGACAGGCGUAGGCGAUGGAUAACAGGUUGAUAUUCCUGUACCACCUAUAAUCGUUUUAAUCGAUGGGGGGACGCAGUAGGAUAGGCGAAGCGUGCGAUUGGAUUGCACGUCUAAGCAGUAAGGCUGAGUAUUAGGCAAAUCCGGUACUCAUUAAGGCUGAGCUGUGAUGGGGAGAAGACAUUGUGUCUUCGAGUCGUUGAUUUCACACUGCCGAGAAAAGCCUCUAGAUAGAAAAUAGGUGCCCGUACCGCAAACCGACACAGGUAGUCAAGAUGAGAAUUCUAAGGUGAGCGAGCGAACUCUCGUUAAGGAACUCGGCAAAAUGACCCCGUAACUUCGGGAGAAGGGGUGCUCUUUAGGGUUAACGCCCAGAAGAGCCGCAGUGAAUAGGCCCAAGCGACUGUUUAUCAAAAACACAGGUCUCUGCUAAACCGUAAGGUGAUGUAUAGGGGCUGACGCCUGCCCGGUGCUGGAAGGUUAAGAGGAGUGGUUAGCUUCUGCGAAGCUACGAAUCGAAGCCCCAGUAAACGGCGGCCGUAACUAUAACGGUCCUAAGGUAGCGAAAUUCCUUGUCGGGUAAGUUCCGACCCGCACGAAAGGCGUAACGAUUUGGGCACUGUCUCAACGAGAGACUCGGUGAAAUCAUAGUACCUGUGAAGAUGCAGGUUACCCGCGACAGGACGGAAAGACCCCGUGGAGCUUUACUGUAGCCUGAUAUUGAAAUUCGGCACAGCUUGUACAGGAUAGGUAGGAGCCUUUGAAACGUGAGCGCUAGCUUACGUGGAGGCGCUGGUGGGAUACUACCCUAGCUGUGUUGGCUUUCUAACCCGCACCACUUAUCGUGGUGGGAGACAGUGUCAGGCGGGCAGUUUGACUGGGGCGGUCGCCUCCUAAAAGGUAACGGAGGCGCUCAAAGGUUCCCUCAGAAUGGUUGGAAAUCAUUCAUAGAGUGUAAAGGCAUAAGGGAGCUUGACUGCGAGACCUACAAGUCGAGCAGGGUCGAAAGACGGACUUAGUGAUCCGGUGGUUCCGCAUGGAAGGGCCAUCGCUCAACGGAUAAAAGCUACCCCGGGGAUAACAGGCUUAUCUCCCCCAAGAGUUCACAUCGACGGGGAGGUUUGGCACCUC